AAUAGAUACCCCGGUAGUCCACGCCGUAAACGAUGAAUACUAGGUGUAGGGGUUGUCAUGACCUCUGUGCCGCCGCUAACGCAUUAAGUAUUCCGCCUGGGGGAGUACGGUCGCAAGAUUAAAACUCAAAGGAAUUGACGGGGGCCCGCACAAGCAGCGGAGCAUGUGGUUUAAUUCGAAGCAACGCGAAGAACCUUACCUAGACUUGACAUCUCCUGCAUUACCCUUAAUCGGGAAAGUUCCUUCGGGGACAGGAAGACAGGUGGUGCAUGGUUGUCGUCAGCUCGUGUCGUGAGAUGUUGGGUUAAGUCCCGCAACGAGCGCAACCCUUAUUGUUAGUUGCUACCAUUUAGUUGAGCACUCUAGCGAGACUGCCCGGGUUAACCGGGAGGAAGGUGGGGAUGACGUCAAAUCAUCAUGCCCCUUAUGUCUAGGGCUACACACGUGCUACAAUGGCAAGUACAAAGAGACGCAAUACCGCGAGGUGGAACAAAACUCAAAACUUGUCUCAGUUCGGAUUGUAGGCUGAAACUCGCCUACA
rnacentral:rRNA from 1 species